rnacentral:rRNA from 1 species
GUGGGGAAUCUUGCGCAAUGGGCGAAAGCCUGACGCAGCCAUGUCGCGUGAAUGAUGAAGGUCUUAGGAUUGUAAAAUUCUUUCACCGGGGACGAUAAUGACGGUACCCGGAGAAGAAGCCCCGGCUAACUUCGUGCCAGCAGCCGCGGUAAUACGAAGGGGGCUAGCGUUGCUCGGAAUUACUGGGCGUAAAGGGCGCGUAGGCGGACAGCUUAGUCAGAGGUGAAAGCCCAGGGCUCAACCUUGGAAUUGCCUUUGAUACUGGCUGUCUUGAGUUUGGGAGAGGUGAGUGGAACUCCGAGUGUAGAGGUUAAAUUCGUAGAUAUUCGGAAGAACACCAGUGGCGAAGGCGACUCACUGGCCCGUUACUGACGCUGAGGCGCGAAAGCGUGGGGAGCAAACAGGAUUAGAAACCCCAGUAGUCC